rnacentral:rRNA from 1 species
UACGUAGGGUGCAAGCGUUGUCCGGAAUUAUUGGGCGUAAAGAGCUUGUAGGCGGUUUGUCGCGUCUGCUGUGAAAUUUCGGGGCUCAACCCCGAACUUGCAGUGGGUACGGGCGGACUAGAGUGUGGUAGGGGAGACUGGAAUUCCUGGUGUAGCGGUGAAAUGCGCAGAUAUCAGGAGGAACACCGAUGGCGAAGGCAGGUCUCUGGGCCACUACUGACGCUGAGAAGCGAAAGCAUGUGGAGCGAACAGG